rnacentral:lncRNA from 1 species
UAUGUCUCCAUUUUUGUCAAAAAUAACCACCAAAAUCCAUUAUAGUAUCCUCUCAUAAAAAAACUUUGAACCAAAAAAAUAGAAAGGUAGAAGAAGAAUAACGAUCUAGAAGAAUAACAAAGCAAUUACCCAUAUAUUCACUUAUCAAAAAAAAUUACCUAUACAUUCUUGAUAAUUUUGGUAGCUUUCUUUGUGUCUUUCUUGGCUUUUUGCUUGUUCUUUUUCCUUCAUAUCUUUUUCUGACGCGUUGGUAUUAUUCCAGUGGAUCUGAGAAGGUUUCAAAGCUCCCACCUUUUAGAUAUUCUACUUGAAUUGAACUUUUUACAACUUCACGAAGACUCCUUUGUCAUUUCCAUUGUUGUCGUCGUCGUCGCGGUUAUCGUGAUUCAGAGAUGUUUAGUUUAGAUCGAUUUGAGGAUUUUGG